UAUAGGUUUCACCGAUAUACUACCUGAAAAUAGUUCAGGCCAAGAAGGUUCUAUUUCAGGAACCACCACUGCAAUGUCUGAUAAGCAAACUCCUGGAAGUGAAACAGGCACCACUCAGGUGGUCUCUGGGACAACAGUUGCCACUGGAAGUUCAAACAC